AUAAGUGUAGCAUAAUAGGUAAUGUGUCUGUUUUGGGAACAGAAGAUUACAGGUUCGAAUCCUGUCACUCUGA
rnacentral:tRNA from 1 species